UAGUGGCGAACGGGUGAGUAAUACGUGAGUAACCUGCCCUUGACUCUGGGAUAAGCCUGGGAAACUGGGUCUAAUACUGGAUACUACCUCUUACCGCAUGGUGGGUGGUGGAAAGGGUUUUACUGGUUUUGGAUGGGCUCACGGCCUAUCAGCUUGUUGGUGGGGUAAUGGCUCACCAAGGCGACGACGGGUAGCCGGCCUGAGAGGGUGACCGGCCACACUGGGACUGAGACACGGCCCAGACUCCUACGGGAGGCAGCAGUGGGGAAUAUUGCACAAUGGGCGGAAGCCUGAUGCAGCGACGCCGCGUGAGGGAUGACGGCCUUCGGGUUGUAAACCUCUUUCAGUAGGGAAGAAGCGAGAGUGACGGUACCUGCAGAAGAAGCGCCGGCUAACUACGUGCCAGCAGCCGCGGUAAUACGUAGGGCGCAAGCGUUGUCCGGAAUUAUUGGGCGUAAAGAGCUCGUAGGCGGUUUGUCGCGUCUGCUGUGAAAGCCCGGGGCUCAACCCCGGGUCUGCAGUGGGUACGGGCAGACUAGAGUGCAGUAGGGGAGACUGGAAUUCCUGGUGUAGCGGUGAAAUGCGCAGAUAUCAGGAGGAACACCGAUGGCGAAGGCAGG
rnacentral:rRNA from 1 species